AACGCGAAGAACCUUACCUGGUCUUGACAUCCACGGAAGUUUUCAGAGAUGAGAAUGUGCCUUCGGGAACCGUGAGACAGGUGCUGCAUGGCUGUCGUCAGCUCGUGUUGUGAAAUGUUGGGUUAAGUCCCGCAACGAGCGCAACCCUUAUCCUUUGUUGCCAGCGGUCCGGCCGGGAACUCAAAGGAGACUGUUAGUGAUAAACUGGAGGAAGGUGGGGAUGACGUCAAGUCAUCAUGGCCCUUACGACCAGGGCUACACACGUGCUACAAUGGCGCAUACAAAGAGAAGCGACCUCGCGAGAGCAAGCGGACCUCAUAAAGUGCGUCGUAGUCCGGAUUGGAGUCUGCAACUCGACUCCAUGAAGUCGGAAUCGCUAGUAAUCGUGGAUCAGAAUGCCACGGUGAAUACGUUCCCGGGUCUUGUACACACCG
rnacentral:rRNA from 1 species